rnacentral:piRNA from 1 species
UUGUGGAUGAUAAGCAAAUUGUAGUA